AGCUUUGCGCAUUGGCGAUAUUUUAUCUAAUGAGGUACAUCCGAGGAACGAUUAUUGCUAGUGAAAAAAACACCGCAUUCCUACGUCAACAUUGCGGUUAUAUCAUAGGUAUAAUCCAUCCAUAGUUUUUUCAACUGUUUCAAUAG